GGUGGUGUAAUGGCGUAGAGCAUUCCUGCCUAGUCAGCAGGAGGUGCGGGUUCGAGUCUCGCCUGCGCUA
rnacentral:tRNA from 1 species